rnacentral:rRNA from 1 species
UACGUAGGGAGCAAGCGUUGUCCGGAAUCAUUGGGCGUAAAGCGCGCGUAGGUGGCCUCGUAAGUCCGCUGUGAAAGUCAAAGGCUCAACCUUUGAAAGCCGGUGGAUACUGUGAGGCUAGAGUACGGAAGAGGCGAGUGGAAUUCCUGGUGUAGCGGUGGAAUGCGCAGAUAUCAGGAGGAACACCAAUAGCGAAGGCAGCUCGCUGGGACGUAACCGACACUGAGGCGCGAAAGCGUGGGGAGCGAACAGG